rnacentral:rRNA from 1 species
CGGCGGACGGGUGAGUAACGCGUGGGGAACCUGCCCUGUACCGGGGGAUAGCAGCCGGAAACUGCUGAUAAUACCGCAUAAGCGCACGAAUGUCGCAUGACAUGGUGUGAAAAACUCCGGUGGUAUAGGAUGGACCCGCGUCUGAUUAGCCGGUUGGUGGGGUAAAAGCCUACCAAAGCGAAGAUCAGUAGCCGAGUUGAGAGACUGACCGGCCACAUUGGGACUGAGACACGGCCCAGACUCCUACGGGAGGCAGCAGCC